GCUUACGGCCAUAACACCCUGGCAAUGCCCGAUCUCAUCUUAACUUGGAAGUAAAGCAGGGUUGGGCCUAGUUAGUACUUGGAUGGGAGACCGCCUGGGAAUACCAGGUGCUGUAAGCU
rnacentral:rRNA from 1 species